rnacentral:rRNA from 1 species
GAUGAACGCUGGCGGCGUGCCUAAUACAUGCAAGUCGAGCGAACAGAUAAGGAGCUUGCUCCUUUGACGUCAGCGGCGGACGGGUGAGUAACACGUGGAUAACCUACCUAUAAGACUGGGAUAACUUCGGGAAACCGGAGCUAAUACCGGAUAACAUAUUGAACCGCAUGGUUCAAUAGUGAAAGGCGGCUUUGCUGUCACUUAUAGAUGGAUCCGCGCCGUAUUAGCUAGUUGGCAAGGUAACGGCUUACCAAGGCAACGAUACGUAGCCGACCUGAGAGGGUGAUCGGCCACACUGGAACUGAGACACGGUCCAGACUCCUACGGGAGGCAGCAGUAGGGAAUCUUCCGCAAUGGGCGAAAGCCUGACGGAGCAACGCCGCGUGAGUGAUGAAGGUCUUCGGAUCGUAAAACUCUGUUAUCAGGGAAGAACAAAUGUGUAAGUAACUGUGCACAUCUUGACGGUACCUGAUCAGAAAGCCACGGCUAACUACGUG